rnacentral:tRNA from 1 species
GAGGGUAUAGCUCAAUGAUAGAGCACAUGCCUAGUGUGAAUGAGAUCCUGAGUUCAGUCCCCAGUACCUCCA